GACGAACGCUGGCGGCGUGCUUAACACAUGCAAGUCGAACGGAAAGGCACUGCGUUUGUGGGGUGCUCGAGUGGCGAACGGGUGAGUAACACGUGAGUAACCUGCCCUUGACUUUGGGGUAACUUCAGGAAACUGGGGCUAAUACCGGAUAGGAGCUCCUGCUGCAUGGUGGGGGUUGGAAAGUUUCGGCGGUUGGGGAUGGACUCGCGGCUUAUCAGCUUGUUGGUGGGGUAGUGGCUUACCAAGGAUUUGACGGGUAGCCGGCCUGAGAGGGUGACCGGCCACCUUGGGACUGCGAUACGGCCCAGACGCCUACGGGAGGCAGCAGUGGGGAAUAUUGCACAGUGGGCGGAAGCCUGAUGCAGCAACGCCGCGUUCGGGAUGACGGCCUUCGGGUUGUAAACCGCUUUCGCCUGUGACGAAGCGUGAGUGACGGUAAUGGGUAAAGAAGCACCGGCUAACUACGUG
rnacentral:rRNA from 1 species